UAGCCGUAAACGAUACUCGCUAGGUGUCGGCCACGGUGCGACCGUUGUCGGUGCCGUAGGGAAGCCGUGAAGCGAGCCACCUGGGAAGUACGGCCGCAAGGCUGAAACUUAAAGGAAUUGGCGGGGGAGCACCACAACGGGUGGAGCUUGCGGUUUAAUUGGAUUCGACGCCGGAAAUCUUACCGGGACCGACAGCAACAUGAAGGCCAGGCUGAAGACUUUGCCGGAUUAGCUGAGAGGAGGUGCAUGGCGUAGUCGUGU
rnacentral:rRNA from 1 species